UACGUAGGGAGCAAGCGUUGUCCGGAAUUAUUGGGCGUAAAGGGUGCGUAGGCGGUUCUGAAAGUCUGAUGUGAAAUCUCCGGGCCCAACCCGGAAAUGGCAUUAGAAACUACAGGGCUAGAGGCUUGGAGGGGGAACUGGAAUUCUCGGUGUAGCAGUGAAAUGCGUAGAGAUCGAGAGGAACACCAGUGGCGAAGGCGAGUUCCUGGACAAGUCCUGACGCUGAGGCACGAAAGCCAGGGGAGCAAACAGG
rnacentral:rRNA from 1 species